rnacentral:rRNA from 1 species
UGUCGUCAGCUCGUGUUGUGAAAUGUUGGGUUAAGUCCCGCAACGAGCGCAACCCUUAUCCUUUGUUGCCAGCGGUCCGGCCGGGAACUCAAAGGAGACUGCCAGUGAUAAACUGGAGGAAGGUGGGGAUGACGUCAAGUCAUCAUGGCCCUUACGACCAGGGCUACACACGUGCUACAAUGGCGCAUACAAAGAGAAGCGACCUCGCGAGAGCAAGCGGACCUCAUAAAGUGCGUCGUAGUCCGGAUUGGAGUCUGCAACUCGACUCCAUGAAGUCGGAAUCGCUAGUAAUCGUGGAUCAGAAUGCCACGGUGAAUACGUUCCCGGGCCUUGUACACACCGCCCGUCACACCAUGGGAGUGGGUUGCAAAAGAAGUAGGUAGCUUAACCUUCGGGAGGGCGCUUACCACUUUGUGAUUCAUGACUGGGGUGAAGUCGUAACAAGGUAACCGU